rnacentral:rRNA from 1 species
UACGUAGGGUGCGAGCGUUGCCCGGAUUUAUUGGGCGUAAAGGGCGCGUAGGCGGCCACGCACGUCCGUUGUGAAAUCGCCCCGGCUCAACUGGGCGGGGUCAGCGGAUACGGUGUGGCUCGAGCAAGCUAGGGGGCAAUGGAAUUCCCGGUGUAGUGGUGGAAUGCGUAGAUAUCGGGAGGAACACCAGUGGCGAAGGCGGUUGCCUGGAGCUUUGCUGACGCUGAGGCGACGAAAGCGUGGGGAGCGAUCGG